rnacentral:rRNA from 1 species
CCUGUGAGGGUUGCUGGAGGUAUCAGAAGUGCGAAUGCUGACAUAAGUAACGAUAAAGCGGGUGAAAAGCCCGCUCGCCGGAAGACCAAGGGUUCCUGUCCAACGUUAAUCGGGGCAGGGUGAGUCGACCCCUAAGGCGAGGCCGAAAGGCGUAGUCGAUGGGAAACAGGUUAAUAUUCCUGUACUUGGUGUUACUGCGAAGGGGGGACGGAGAAGGCUAUGUUGGCCGGGCGACGGUUGUCCCGGUUUAAGCGUGUAGGCUGGUUUUCCAGGCAAAUCCGGAAAAUCAAGGCUGAGGCGUGAUGACGAGGCACUACGGUGCUGAAGCGACAAAUGCCCUGCUUCCAGGAAAAGCCUCUAAGCAUCAGGUAACAUCAAAUCGUACCCCAAACCGACACAGGUGGUCAGGUAGAGAAUACCAAGGCGCUUGAGAGAACUCGGGUGAAGGAACUAGGCAAAAUGGUGCCGUAACUUCGGGAGAAGGCACGCUGAUAUGUAGGUGAAGCGACUUGCUCGUGGAGCUGAAAUCAGUCGAAGAUACCAGCUGGCUGCAACUGUUUAUUAAAAACACAGCACUGUGCAAACACGAAAGUGGACGUAUACGGUGUGACGCCUGCCCGGUGCCGGAAGGUUAAUUGAUGGGGUUAGCGGUAACGCGAAGCUCUUGAUCGAAGCCCCGGUAAACGGCGGCCGUAACUAUAACGGUCCUAAGGUAGCGAAAUUCCUUGUCGGGUAAGUUCCGACCUGCACGAAUGGCGUAAUGAUGGCCAGGCUGUCUCCACCCGAGACUCAGUGAAAUUGAACUCGCUGUGAAGAUGCAGUGUACCCGCGGCAAGACGGAAAGACCCCGUGAACCUUUACUAUAGCUUGACACUGAACAUUGAGCCUUGAUGUGUAGGAUAGGUGGGAGGCUUUGAAGUGUGGACGCCAGUCUGCAUGGAGCCGACCUUGAAAUACCACCCUUUAAUGUUUGAUGUUCUAACGUGGGCCCCUUACCGGGGUUGCGGACAGUGUCUGGUGGGUAGUUUGACUGGGGCGGUCUCCUCCUAAAGAGUAACGGAGGAGCACGAAGGUUGGCUAAUCCUGGUCGGACAUCAGGAGGUUAGUGCAAUGGCAUAAGCCAGCUUGACUGCGAGCGUGACGGCGCGAGCAGGUGCGAAAGCAGGUCAUAGUGAUCCGGUGGUUCUGAAUGGAAGGGCCAUCGCUCAACGGAUAAAAGGUACUCCGGGGAUAACAGGCUGAUACCGCCCAAGAGUUCAUAUCGACGGCGGUGUUUGGCACCUCGAUGUCGGCUCAUCACAUCCUGGGGCUGAAGUAGGUCCCAAGGGUAUGGCUGUUCGCCAUUUAAAGUGGUACGCGAGCUGGGUUUAGAACGUCGUGAGACAGUUCGGUCCCUAUCUGCCGUGGGCGCUGGAGAACUGAGGGGGGCUGCUCCUAGUACGAGAGGACCGGAGUGGACGCAUCACUGGUGUUCGG